rnacentral:lncRNA from 1 species
UUUAAAGAAAUCACUUAGCAGCUGCAGCUUGGGGCAUAUUUCUGGUAGACGCCUCUGCUUUCUCUUGAUCAGUUUUCCCAUGGGAGGGCAGACUGAAGAAUCCCACAGAAACAAGAUGUUCUGCUGUAGGCAAGUAGAGCACGUACAACAGUUACAACUGUGCUCCCCUGGAAAGAUAAUCCACAAAUACCGGACACUGUUUAUUAGAGCCACAUACGCUUGGAACCAUA